rnacentral:lncRNA from 1 species
UCCCCUAACCUUGACCCUAAAUUCGAUGCACACAGAGCACAGAGGCGAUUUCUCUGGCGACGACCACCAGCACCACCGUCAGCACCACUACCAACACUCCCAUCAUCGACACCACCACCAAAAUUUCAACUCCGAGCAGAAUGAGUCACUCACUAAUUCCGAUCUUCUUGCGGUCGGAAGCCUCAGAUCUCUCUCUCUCUGGUCCUGCUUUCCUCUCUCUCUCUCAGGGUUAGGUUUAGCAGUUUGUUUUUGUUGGCGGAUGGUAGAGAUAGAGGCGGAGAGGUACAGAGAUUACUCCGGCUCUCGCCCGAAUAACAUUCGACAAGUCUCUUGCCGUCCUCCGAGGAUCAUCACUCGCCUUGACCAAAUUCGACGCACACAGAGGCGAUUCUCCGGCGACGCCACAGCCACCCACGUCAGACCACCACUACCAACACUCCCAUCAUCGAAACCACCACCAAAAUGUCAACUCCGAACAUAAUGAAUGAGUCACUCACAAUUACGAUCUUCUUGCGUCCGAAGCUCUCAGAUCUCUCUCUCUGGUCAUGCUUUCCCUAUCUAUCUCAGGUUAGGUUUAGCGUUUUGUUGUUGUUGGCGGAUGGUAGAGAUAGAGGCGGAGAGGGACGGGAUUACUCCGACUCUCGCC